UGUGUCAAAUAAAAAAAUUAAAAACAAAAUGUGUCAAAAGUGCCCGUCCAAAAUGUUCUGAGAAAAUACACUUAUAAUCACAUAAUUUCCAAUAAUCUCAAACAGUAUGAAGUAGAAAUAAAAAUAAAUAAUAAUUUUAUCCAGCUACCCUUAAAUAAAAAACAGUUAUUUCAUGCACAAUAUGGCUGAACUGGGAUCCCCAAUAAAGAUCUUGUGUACCAAUAUCGACUUUACGAUAGUCCUUCUCAUCUGCGUGGCCUUUACGUUCAUCUUGGUUGUGUUGAGUCAAGCCAGCCACAUAAUAUAUUCUGGAUUGAUUAAUUUAUGAACGAAAAACGUACCAAAACCAAUGUAUACAAAAAGGAUCCUACGUUGAUAUAAAAUCACUUAUAUCUAACGUAAUAAUAUAAUUACUUAAUAUGAAA